AUUGAACGCUGGCGGCAGGCUUAACACACGCAAGUCGAGCGGUAACAGAGAGAAGCUUGCUUCUCUGCUGACGAGCGGCGGACGGGUGAGUAAUGCCUAGGAAUCUGCCUAGUAGUGGGGGAUAACUUGCCGAAAGGUAAGCUAAUACCGCAUACGUCCUACGGGAGAAAGGAGGGGACCUUCGGGCCUUUCGCUAUUAGAUGAGCCUAGGUCGGAUUAGUUAGUUGGUGAGGUAAUGGCUCACCAAGACCGCGAUCCGUAACUGGUCUGCGAGGAUGAUCAGUCACACUGGAACUGAGACACGGUCCAGACUCCUACGGGAGGCAGCAGUGGGAAAUAUUGGACAAUGGGGGGAACCCUGAUCCAGCCAUGCCGCGUGUGUGAAGAAGGUCUUAGGAUUGUAAAGCACUUUAAGUUGGGAGGAAGAGCAGUUAACUAAUAUUUGACUGUUUUGACGUUACCGACAGAAUAAGCACCGGCUAACUUCGUGCCAGCCGCCGCGGUAA
rnacentral:rRNA from 1 species